GGAUUAGAUACCCUGGUAGUCCACGCCGUAAACGUUGGGCACUAGGUGUGGGGGGCCUUUUCCGGGUUUUCCGCGCCGUAGCUAACGCAUUAAGUGCCCCGCCUGGGGAGUACGGCCGCAAGGCUAAAACUCAAAGGAAUUGACGGGGGCCCGCACAAGCGGCGGAGCAUGCGGAUUAAUUCGAUGCAACGCGAAGAACCUUACCAAGGCUUGACAUGUGCCGGUCGGCUCCGGAGACGGGGUUUCCUCCUUGUGGGGCCGGUUCACAGGUGGUGCAUGGUUGUCGUCAGCUCGUGCCG
rnacentral:rRNA from 1 species